rnacentral:lncRNA from 1 species
CCACGACUGUGACGGUGGCUAACGGUGAUCGCGAGUGACGACGCCAAAUUGAGAGCAGAGCGCGAGUUCUUGGAAUCGCAGUAGGCGAAGGAAGAAGAUGAGCUUCGUGAGUGAGCUAUAUUACAAAACCCUAAUCUGGUAAGCCCUAAAACCAACUUCGUUUUACAUUAAAAAAAAAUUCUCGACGAACUCGCGAGUUUGAUAACCAUGUCUCUACCUAUCUCUGAAAGGCCUGAUAUAUAUACAUCUAUGAUAUGGAGCAAUCUAAUCAAGUUUCAAAGUGUUUCGCCAAUCAAUGACAAUACUUAAAAUAUUCCAGUUCUAUGAUCAAGUAAAAGGCUUACAGUUUUCCCAUUUGUGGCAGUGAUGGUAACAUUUUUGCCAUUAAUUUCUGUGACCUCACCAUCAAUCCAUGCAUCCUCAGGAUCCUCAACCCAAACCUGUGAUCCAACGAUGAUGUUCACAGGCGUUCCCUGAACCAAUCAUAACAAGGCAUGAAAAGUGUUAACAGACAUGAUCUGACACCAGAAAAGUUGAGAGGUGAUCAGCAACACAAAGAGAACAAUUUUUCUUGUUCAGAUUCUCACCAUGAUGUGCUAAACUCUUCUGAUCAUGAAAAUCAGAAUGGUGGCUUGUGGAACAAGACCAAUAUGAAUGAAUGAAUGAAUGCUUGUGAAAGAGUUGGUGGAUGCAAAAGGGUGGUGGAGUUGUAUAUGGAAGAAUGCUGGUGUGUGUUGCAGAGUUUUCAGAAAGCAGAAAGGAAU